UACCUACGGGAGGCAGCAGUGGGGGAUAUUGCACAAUGGGGGGAACCCUGAUGCAGCGACGCCGCGUGGGUGAAGGAGCGUUUCGGCGCGUAAAGCCCUAUCGGCAGGGAAGAAGGAGGACGGUACCUGACUAAGAAGCCCCGGCUAACUACGUGCCAGCAGCCGCGGUAAUACGUAGGGGGCAAGCGUUAUCCGGAUUUACUGGGUGUAAAGGGCGUGCAGCCGGGAAGACAAGUCAGAUGUGAAAUCCCGCGGCUCAACCGCGGAACUGCAUUUGAAACCGUUUUUCUUGAGUACCGGAGAGG
rnacentral:rRNA from 1 species